AUGGAUUUCUUCAAAAGAUGCUGGGAGGUGAUCAAGCAUGAUGUCUCUGCAGCUCUGCACCAAUUCUUCGCCCUACGCGGCAAGCAUUUCCACCUGCUCAAUUCUGCCUACAUAACACUACUGCCAAAAUUCAAUGAGGCCGUCAAAGUAAAAGACUUCCGCCCGAUAAGUUUGAUCCACUCAGUGGGAAAGAUUGCCGGAAAGUUGCUCUCCAUCCGACUUGCCCCAUUCCUGUAGCUGCUGAUUCCCCCCUCCCAGAGUGCGUUCAUCAAAUCCAAA
rnacentral:rRNA from 1 species